UGGCGUGUGUUUCACGCCGGAUAUCGAUGUGCAAUUAAUAUCAGAGUGUAUAUGUAUGUGUGUGUUUGUAUUCUUCCCUCUUAUCGUGCAGACACUGAACAAUGGUCGCCGAGUGAUCUACUUUAAGUUUUUUUGUGAGUCUCGCCGAUUUGGCUGAAACUGACUUCCGUCAAGGCUUUAAUCAGUUUCACCGGAUAUUCUCAUCGAUGAUAUCGUCUGACGGUGCAUCAACUAGCAUUUCAUAACCCGUACGCGCGUAACCUCUAUAACGAGAAUAAUUCCUUCGAUGUACGGCACGCAGCUGCGUUCCGAUCGACUGCCAGUCGGAAACGAGCUAAUGAACCAGGACGAUGGCAGCUUACCGCAAUGGAUCACGGCUUCUGCAAAGUUCGACCUGCAGUUGGAAGGAGAGAUAUCGACCGAUAUAAAUAUCUAAUGGGUGCGUUCAUAACGAUUACACAACGGUUACACAACGGUUGAGUAAUUAGUCAACGUAAUUGGUCUAAAGUUAGGGAUUCAACAGUAAGGAUCAAUAAUCACUGACCGCUCACUAAUCAGCUAUGUUUCUAAAUGCAGCCAAUGUGCUAAAUUUCUUAAAAUACAAUUAACGGAAUGCUUAUCGCCAUCUAACGGUGUCGUGAAACGACCUCUUUGCACCUAAUGGGUUUGAAUCUCGGCUAACAUGUAAAUAAAAUUUUAGUAAAAUAAGUCAAUAAAUAUGUGUUGAACAUGGACGUAAGAAUACAUGGAAUUGUCGCAGGGGUGAAGCCUAAGGGGUGAAGCCUAACGAUCGCUGUUUUUAUACAUAGACAAUAGAUGCAUACCUCCGACAUCAUAAUGGCCGCAACGAUGUAAUCCUCUUACCCCUUGGGUUUCACAGCCCCUCGUCCAUAAUUGCACUUUGCACUCCGUCCAUGUAUUCUUACGUGUUGAAUAUAUGUAAAACAGCUAAAAACAGAGAGCAGCCUGAGAGCGGCCACCAGCCUGAUUUUAGUGGCCAGAGCUAAGCACUAGAGUCCCUAUAAAAUAGAGUCUGGCC